rnacentral:misc_RNA from 1 species
GUUUCACCUUCUUUAGGGCAUGAAGAUGGCCUUCCUCCUCCCUCUGAAAAUAUAUUUACUUCCGAUCAUCGGAGCGAUCAAUGCGAGUUGCCGUAUUUUGGCGUCAAAGGUACCAUAAGGAAGUAUCUUGUUUGGGCAAUGCUGUGUCUACUGCUGCAUAAUCAAUUGAUGCCAUAUUAAAUGGAGAACCAAAUCUGAAGUCGGAGAUGUUAUCGUUGGGAUACAUGCCGAAUGGAGAAUCGAAUGCUGCUGCCUUGUACUCAUCGAAUGGAAGUUUGGUAGAAGAAAAAUCAGGCUGCUGCUGCUGCUGAAUUGGUAUACUAUUUCCCACCAUUGCUGCUUGACAAUACAAGUUAUCAUCUACUUGGAGCUGGAAUUUUGGCAGUUGUUGCUGUUGGUUGUGAUCGUCUCUAAUGUCAACAUUACCGGAACUCAAAGGUUUGUCCUGUUGAAGGUUAGAAUCGUAGAAACUCAGAAGGUCAGAAAUCAUUUUCUGGCCAUCUUCUGGAAGCCCAAGUCCUGAUACCCUGAAGGGUGGGGUCGGGUUCAUCAGCCGAGUAGGUGGCUUAGGAUGGUUAAAGGAUGGAGGAGCAGGCGAUGAUGAUUUGUCAUCGUUAGUUUGAAAGCUUGGGCAAUUCAACUGGUGGUUGUUUCUUGAAGUCCUG